AUGGAUCUAUUUUCAAAUUUGACAAGUAUUACACUCAGCAACCUGCACUUGACAGUCGUCGUUUCACCGCUUGCUUACCAACAAGUUCUGUUGCUUGGUUUGUGGGCAUUGCCAGAACUGACCUUCCUAUUUGGUCUUGAUCUGCAUCAGGACUCAUGGGACUAUGUGUGGCAAUGUUGGCCAACUGGGCAAGCAGAGCAUCCCUCUCAGAUGCAAACUGGCGCAACUGCACUAGAACCAACAAUUCUGCUUGUCCGGUGCAGUUCAUGUCAGAAUUUGUGCUUCUUCUGCUGGUACCGUGCAUGUAUAGUCAGUGAACAAACCAAGUUAAGGCACACUUGGAUCGGGCACCCUGAAGUUUGUACUUAA
rnacentral:rRNA from 1 species